CAGUUUACAUGGAUUCCAACCUUUUAUUUCAUCCCAUUUAGAAGAGACAAUAUUGGAAAUUUUGUGGGGCCUAUGAUAAUGAUAGGUGGCCAAAAUUUCCAUGGAAAAAUACGCCAAAAGCUGAAGGAAAUUUCAAUGAAACUUCCAAGCAAUUUCCUCUCUCAUUCCCCACCAUUUACUCACGCAUGGACGUCUGCUGUAUUUUACGAUGGCAACUUCCACAUUUUCCUUUCUUCCUCUUAUUUUAUUCUUCUCCCUUGUCUCUUUCAACGUACAAGCUGUUGCUUUCUCUUCCCUUGAAUGUGCAACUUCCAUUUCUGCUCCCUCCUGAACGACAAACCGGAGACUAAGAAACAAAACAGAGCAAGGCGUGAACGUGACGUUACCAAAAGUUCUUGGACCCACAUAAACGUCGAUCGCCUACCACCAUGGUUUUUAUAUAAAGGUUGUCGCGACCCGACCUCGCCGCCCCUCGAAAUGUCCAAGGAGGGGAAAGGUCGGGUUUAGGGGUACUUGAUCUCAAGAUCGCGAGCUCUCCCAAGCUCGUACCCCGCGUGACAGCGGAUUUAUUAUACGAUCUAGGUAUUUAACAACUUAAAAAAUAUACAGGAGUCGCCACUAGCCUCAUUUUGGGGGUCGGCUAGAAACCCAAUCGAGGGUCGGGAGUGUUCCCUCGAUUUCUACAUAACCAGAUAUCUAGGUUUGGGGACUUGGGUUACGCUAAUAUUGUUAUUAGCGCCCUUUCGGUACCUAAAUAAUAUGUUGUGUUUUUUUUAACAUGUUAAUGCAUCUCUUUUUAUAUUUUCAGGAUCGUCAAUUCUAUACUAAAUGAUCAUGGGUGGUGGAUUACUUUCAUUCUAUUCUAUUCCUAAGAAAUGAAAAGAAAACCAUUAAUGAAAAUUAAAUUGCAAAACAUGAAGUAACAAUCAAGAGAAAACAGUAAACCUAAUCAUGCAAUUCUAAAGAAUAUAAAAGAGAAAACAAUUGAGAAAUAAAGGAAACCCGCAACACGUCGGGCUUUAUACAAUGCAUGGAACCCAAGACAUAUGUCGAGAGAGAAAUGAAUAUUACAUAAUAACGGUCGGAGUGGACAUCGACCUACACCAUCUUCACACCUUCUUCACCUUCGGAAUUCUAAUCUAAUCAUAGCCUAAAAAUAUAUAUAUAUAACUAGGUGCGUACAAAUAAAAGAAACAAUCAAACACAUCAAGCAACAAAAAAAAAAACAAUACAUCAUAUCAAAAUUAAUUGUUUAAAAGAAGUACAACACAAAAGUCAAGUUUUGAGCGAUAUCCUAAAGUUUAGUAUUGAUAUGUGUUGCACCAAAAUCAUUCAUCAAAUGACCACAUGCAAAGCAUAUAAUAUGACAGGCAUCCAAGCCAUAUAACUUUGGUUCUCGGUUAAUUAAACAAAUGAAUUAGCUGACAAAAGAUCAUUCACCAAACAAUAUGCAUCAUUGAACAUGUUCACGCUACAUGUAUAUCCAUCUAAUCUAUGCUUAAUCCACAACUUCCAACAUGCAAUCAGAAUUGUAGCAGAGCACAUGAGACUAUAAAUUGUAAUUGUUUGAUGAUAAAUCGCCAUGAAAUUGAAGCCAUAUCUUACCACAAGCACAUAUGAGUCUUUUUGAUCAAAAUGACAUUAAUUCAUAACCAAACUAACCUCAAGUUAGAAUCAAAUGCACACCCAAUCAUGGUAACAAUUUUCAUGGAAAAAGCUUUUUUUAACAUGAGCUACAUAGAAGUUAAAGAAAGUUCAAGAAUGCACAAUAUCACGUCGGAAUUGCAGCAAAACAACAAGAUGUUAUGACACAUUAAUAGUGAUUUGACCUAAAAAUUAAAUCUGAAGAAUAUGAAAUUUUACCACAGCACGAACAAAAGAGAGACAAAUAGCUUUUAUUAAGGAUCCAAUCUUAGAAUUCCUUAACAAGAAAAUCAUAGAAAAAUGACGAGGUCAGCUUUGACAAGGGAAAAACAGGGGUCAUGAAUUUCAUUUUAUGACAGAUUUCUAUCAUGCGAAUCACAAGAGAAGUUGAGUCAAAUUGUUAUACAAAUCAUGUGAAAUCAGCAUCAUAGGAACAAAUUUCACGAUGAAGCUUCUCAAAAUUUUUAACACGUGAAUUUCUAAAAGUUUAAGAACAUGAACAAGUCAAUCAAGAAUAGAACAUAGUAGCAUGUAACAUAGGUAUUUUACAACAUAGUGAAUGCAAUUGGACACAUCUAUUAUCUCAUUUCAAGACUAACAGCAACUAUCCAUAGAAAAGACAACAUUUCCCUAAUCAAAUCAACUCCAACAAUUCUGAAAAAAAAAAAAAAAAUAGCAUGCCCAACAAUCACAACAGCAGUAUCUCAAAUCAAGAAAUCAGUAUAACAUUUGAACCAAAAGUUUCGUGAUCCUGUCCAUCUUUCCCUUCUGAACAAACAUUUACAAAAUGCAUGUCACCAAUAACCUUGAAGUACUUUAUAGGACAAAUUGCAAAACCAGCAAGCAAAUGCAUUUCAAAACAAAACCCUUAGGCGAGUCAGUCAAGCAAACAUUAGAAGAGAGUAGUCAUUUCAAGACAUGAAACUUGCAACUAUUAUGAAGGAAUCUACUCUUGAACCCAGAUUGCAUGAUUUGAUUAAUACCAAAGACACUCAAAUCAGCAAUAUGAACUCUAUAGAGUAAAGCAUGAACAGCAAACAUCAAUUGCAUAUGAUCUGCAUUUAACCCACUAAAAGCACACAUAAUCGCAUUCUAGUAAUCUUUAUAUGGGAAAUGCAGUAAGACACAAGCAUUACAACUUUAAUGGGACAUUGAAACGUAGGUAAACAUGAUGCAAUAGGGAUUAACUAUUUAUGACUAAGCCAAAAAUCACAAAAAAAAAAAAAAACACAGCAUGCAGAUUGAAGACCAAUUUUUACUAAAAACAAAUUAGAUUUCGAAUAUGCCAUUGGUGGGGGAAAACAGAGAGAGACCAAUCGAGCGAGAAAGAGCGAUCGCAAUUGAGUCAGAGAACAUUUCAAGAGAGAGAGCACGGCAGUUCGUGCGUGAGACAGAGCAAUUAAGAGAUAGAGAAAAACCUGAUCAAGCUAGAGAUAGAAAGCCGCUGUCACCGAUCAAUUUUGGAGCUCUAUCUUUGGAGUCCCACUCGGCGCGAACCUGAACCCCUGUAUGUCGAGCUCCGGAAGGGCGUGAUCCGCAACGAGGGCGUCCGAAUGAGAGAGAGAGAUCAGAAUCCACGACUCGAACGGAUUCAAAGAGAGAACAGAAAUCGAAACCCUAACAGAUUGAGAAUGAUGGAAAGAGAGCUCACCGAUCAACUUCAAAUCUAU
rnacentral:lncRNA from 1 species